UUAUCUUAUGCCAUAACAAGCUUAAUACAACUUGGACUUUGCAAGGACAUUAUAGACAGCCCCUUGCUGGCUGAAGCCUCCCAGCUGGUCCAGAACACUCUGCCUCUUCUUCAGGUUGCUGGCUUCAACAAAUGCCCUGCACACAAGAUAAGCACAGUGACAUCAAACAAACAGAGAAAAUAUGGCCCAAAUUGAAAGCAUCCAGAUCUCUAUAAGCCAUACAUUUUUACAUUACCCCAUACUGAACAUAACUGUGGACACCUCGUAAAAAUAAUCAGAAAAUAUUCACUAUGGUAUUUUCAUCUGUGCAACCAGACUCACCUGGCGUGCUGGACACAAUGGAGGUUGAAGGUGACGCUGCCUGUGGUCUGUAUGCGGAAGCCAAAGCGACUCAGUCUCUCUCCCUACUGUACAUAGACAGAG
ensembl:lncRNA